GAGUUCUCGCCCUAACGGGUAGACCUCCCACCCACUGUGAUUGUUACCGUCGUUGCUUUGGCGGGCCGCUGGGCCUAGCCCGGCCACCGGCCCCGGCUGGUGCGCGCCCGCCAGAGGCUCCGCAAACUCUAGAUGUCUACGUCGUCUGAGUACUAUAUAAUAGUUAAAACUUUCAACAACGGAUCUCUUGGUUCU
rnacentral:misc_RNA from 1 species